rnacentral:rRNA from 1 species
CCUACGGGAGGCAGCAGUGGGGAAUAUUGCUCAAUGGGGGAAACCCUGAAGCAGCGACGCCGCGUGGAGGAUGAAGGUUUUCGGAUUGUAAACCUCUUUUGGUAGGGAAGAAAAUGACGGUACCUAACUAAUAAGCACCGGCUAACUCCGUGCCAGCAGCCGCGGUAAUACGGAGGGAGCAAGCGUUAGUCGGAAUUACUGGGCGUAAAGGGCGCGUAGGCGGGAUGGCAAGUCAGAUGUGAAAUCCUAGGGCUAAACCCUGGAACUGCAUUUGAAACUGUCAGGCUGGAGUAUGGGAGAGGUAGGUGGAAUUCUUGGUGUAGCGGUGAAAUGCGUAGAGAUCAUGAGGAACACUGAUUGCGAAGGCGACCUGCUAGAACAUAACUGACGCUGAGGCACGAAAGCGUGGGGAGCAAACAGGAUUAGAUACCCCUGUAGUC